GAAGGCAGCUUGGGAACUUAUUACAGAGCAAUAUGCAGAUAAUGCAUCAAACAGUGGUUUCCCUGUAAGGACAGAAGCACAAUUAAAGAGAUGCUGGAUUACUUUAAAAUAUAGAUGCAGACAAUCAGAUGCAGAAAGAAAACAGCAUCAAUUAAAAACUGGUGGCUGCCCACCAAUAGUGAUUGAUGAUAACGAAGAAGAUAUGCACGAAAGAGUUCGUAGUAUUGUUCCAACAAUUAAUUUUAUGUUAGAGAAUCAAUGGGAAUAGUACAAGUGAAAUCGAAAGAAAUAUGAAAGAUACGCAAGAUGUAUUUGAAGAAGAAUAAAUAGGAAAUACCAAAGACUUUGGCAAAUAUAAAAGAGAAAAUUACAACAAAAGUA